rnacentral:rRNA from 1 species
UACGGAGGAUGCGAGCGUUAUCCGGAUUUAUUGGGUUUAAAGGGUGCGUAGGCGGGAUGCCAAGUCAGCGGUAAAAAUGCGGUGCUCAACGCCGUCGAGCCGUUGAAACUGGCGUUCUUGAGUGGGCGAGAAGUAUGCGGAAUGCGUGGUGUAGCGGUGAAGUGCAUAGAUAUCACGCAGAACUCCGAUUGCGAAGGCAGCAUACCGGCGCCCUACUGACGCUGAGGCACGAAAGCGUGGGUAUCGAACAGG